rnacentral:rRNA from 1 species
CGGAGGAUCCAAGCGUUAUCCGGAUUUAUUGGGUUUAAAGGGUGCGUAGGCGGCUUUUUAAGUCAGGGGUGAAAGACGGUGGCUCAACCAUCGCAGUGCCUUUGAUACUGAAGAGCUUGAUUACACUAGAGGUAGGCGGAAUGUGACAAGUAGCGGUGAAAUGCAUAGAUAUGUCACAGAACACCGAUUGCGAAGGCAGCUUACUAUGGUGUCAAUGACGCUGAGGCACGAAAGCGUGGGGAUCAAACAGGAUUAGAUACCCAGGUAGUCCACGCCCUAAACGAUGAAUACUCGAUGUUAGCGAUAUACAGUUAGCGUCAAAGCGAAAGCGUUAAGUAUUCCACCUGGGGAGUACGCCCGCAAGGGUG